UCCUUCUAGAUUUUCUCUUGCCAAGUUUAGCUACCUCAUAAAUGAUUUUCUGUCCCAAGCUGCCGUUAGAGUUCAUAGGAAAGGUAACAUUUAAAAAUCACAAUUGUUGGAGUCAGAUGAAAAUAUUGCUUGUGAUAGAUAGGCAUGUGUGGUUUUAUGGGGUUGGAUAGGAAGUCCUAUGUGCUUAUUCCCCAUUAGAUGGGGUUCUCGAAUGAUAAACUUGCCCUUAAAUUUUGGAAUCAUUAACAAAUAUUUCUGCACAAUGAUCAAAGCUUAAAUGGAGGUUAAGAUAAAGAAUACAGAGUACAGAAUAGGUACUUAAAAGUCAGCUCAUACAUUCAUUUAUAAUUUAUACUGUGUCUAUCCAGAAAGAGUUGGAUGUGGUUUAUAAUAAAAGACGGACAUGGGACACAACCUUUAGAAUUAGGGCAAGAAGACAGGAGCUAAAUAAAGAGAAGAGCAAUUCCUAACCUAUGGGCUACUACAGGUUUUGAACAAUACUUCUACAUGAAGAUGCAACAGGUUACAUAGUUCUUAUUAAAUAACAAGAAUGAUGUUAUUAGAUACAAACCUUUUAUUAGUCUCAAUUUUAAGACAAGGUGGAUUUUUAAAAAUGUGAAACAACAAGUUUUGAAUUAAUAGUACUUGAAACUUGAUCCAAAAUGGUGAGAGAGGUAAGCUCUGCAAAUGGAAGAAAUAAAGCAGGGAAUUUCCCAUUGGCUAUCCACCUUUUGGCUUUUAUAUGAGACACUUUUUUUGGUUUGUUUUGUUAUUAGUGAUUAAAGUGUUUCAAAUACCUAUGCAUAUUCAAGAAUUAUUAGAAGCAUUAAUGAAUUACCACAGGAGAAAAAAAAUCAAUUCCCUUCAGAUGCAAAUAUCACUGAGAAAAUGAGCUCUUUUUACCUUUUUCUUUUCUAGUUGCAGGUAAUGAAAUAAAAGAGAUGUCUUGUAUUCAAUGUUUCAUGUCAGGAAGAAUAUGGGUUUUAAUGAAUCUCAGUCCUUAGGAAGAUAAUAUGCUCCAGUAUUUCAUCUCCAGUGGUCCAGGGAAGGUAUUGCUUAAGUCAUAAGUAAAACAAGCUUCACACUGGUGCCCGACUGGGAAUUUGCUGGGAGAGUAUUUUAUCUACACCAGAUUUGCUAAGCACUAACUGCCCAAACAUGAGAUCUACUCAUCUUGAUUCCUCUCUUUCAUUAACAGCCCACAGCCAAUCCACUUGAAAAAUCAUCAUAGAUCGCUCUUUAAAGUUCAUCCAGAAUCUGACUACUACUUAGCACCUCCUCUGCUACCAUGCUGGCCAUGCAACCAUCUUCUGCCUUGACUACAGCCAUAUCUCCCCAACUGGCCUUUCUGCUUCCACAAUUUCUGCACAUGGAAUAUUCUGCAUACAGCAGCCGGACUGAUUGAUUGAAACGGACCUUCAAGAUGGCAGAGGAGUAAGAUGUGGAGAUCAACUUCCUCCCCAUAAAUACAUCAAAAAUACAUCUACAUGUGGAACAACUCCUACAGAACCCCUACUGAACGCUGGCAGAAGACCUCAGACCUCCCAAAAGAAGGCAGAGCACCAACUAAAUGAGCUCCAGAGACGGCGUGAGCCACGGCUACCAGUGCGGACCCCAGAGACGGGCAUGAGACACUAAGGCUGCUGCUGCCGCCACCAAGAAGCCUGUGUGCGAGCACAGGUCACUAUCCACACCCCCCUUCCGGGAGCCUGUGCAGCCCGCCACUGCCAGGGUCCCGGGAUCCAGGGACAACUUCCCCAGGAGAAUGCACGGCGCACCUCAGGCUGGUGCAACGUCACGCCAGCCUCUGCCGCCUCAGACUUGCCCUGCAUCCAUACCCCUCCCUCUCUACGGCCUGAGUGAGCCAGAGCCCCCGAAUCAGCUGCUCCUUUAACCCCGUCCUGUCUGAGAGAAGAACAGACGCCCUCCAGUGACCUACACGCAGAGGCGGGGCCAAAUCCAAAGCUGAGCCCCGGGAGCUGUGAGAACAAAGAAGAGAAAGGGAAAUCUCUCCCAGCAGCCUCAGGAGCAGCAGAUUAAAGCUCCACAAUCAACUUGAUGUAACCUGCAUCUGUGGAAUACCUCAAUAGACAACGAAUCAUACCAAAUUGAGGAGGGGGACUUUGGGAGCAACUGUAGACUUGGGGUUUGCUUUCUGCAUCUAAUUUGUUUCUGGUUUUAUGUGUAUCUUAGUUUAAUAUUUAGUGCUUAUUAUCAUUGGUGGAUUUGUUUAUU